UGUAUUACGUCACAAUGAGAACCCUGAAUCCCGCCAACACAUUUGCUUACCGAGCGGCAGACGCUGGAAUGAACACCAGAUGGGGAGGUCUGUGUGAAUUUUUGCCACUGUCUCCUUCCCAUCCUAGUUGUCCCAAAUGAGAGGCCCGUGGGUCUGCCAGAGGAGAGUUCUGUAUGGUACAAAGGCUUGGGGGGAAUCUGUUCCCUGUCUUUCUACAAAGAUGCUCGUCACAGCCCAUCCCUGCCAAAGGCUGUCCCUGGGACACAUAUGAUGGUUUCCAGUACUACCCUCGGGUUUGAUGAUUCCCUAGAGGGACUCUCAGGAUCUAGCAAGGCUGUUGUCUUCACAGAUAUGGUUUGUACAGCGAAAGGAUACAGAUUAAUAGGCAGGAGGCUGGAGCCUGCAGAGGUGACAGGAGCUCUCUAAGAAUUACAAGUGCCCAAUGGCAGAUCCAGACUUCUAGACUGUUCAGUCCUUGACACUAUGAGUGAGAAGAUAUGGCCCUUUGCAGGUUCACUGGGAUGAUCUCAGAGGAGGAAUGAGUCAGCAUCCUGACUGGCGACCCCUAGUGGCCCACGCGUGCACUACAGCCACUUCCGCAAUCUUUGAAAUGCCUGAUGCCUGGGGAUGAAAGACGACCAGAACAACUAAUCGGAUGGUGCCAGCUACAGGGAACGAGAUGCCCUGGACCAAUGGGGCACGGGUGGAGCGUAUAAAAACACAUCCCGAUCCCGCAAUAAACGAGUCCACUUCCGCUUCUCACCUGACU
rnacentral:lncRNA from 1 species